AAUGAUAAAAACAAUAUACAAUUCAGUUAACCUGACUAUAUCAUUGUGAUAAUGACUUCUUAUCUAAAAGUGACAACGGCAAUAAUUGCCGUUGUAAUAAUUAUUAUUCCAUUCACUCACGAUAAAAUAUCGCAAAACCUCCAGAUUUUAAAGAACCGCUUGGAUUGACAUAAAAUUUGGCACACACGUAGCUAAAAUGCCAAAGAAAAAAGUGAGAUUAUGCCGAUAUGUUCUCUUGUCCUGGAUGUGACUUUCACCCCUUCUUGGAGGUGAAAAAACAUACGUGCAAAAUAAGUCCGGAAGUGGAUAAACUGACUAAUUCUAAUUCUAAGCAAAUUUUGUUCUAUAAAAGUUUUAGGUCAAUACUUUUCGAGGUAUGUGCGAGUGAAUAUGUUUAUUUUUCAUAGAAAAACACGUUUUGGACGGAUUUUCGCAAAGAACUCAAAAAGUAAGUAUGUACAUAUUUUAUCGAAGAAAAUAUUCCUAACAAUAAUAUAGCUUAUGAAAAAGAGGUGUCAGUAUAAGAUCUGUAGACCCAGUAGAAGCAGGGUUGCAGCUAAUGAAAAAUAGUCUGUUUUUAAACAAGAGGAGUCAUUCAAAUUUCCCGCGCCGUACACCUUGUUUGUAAUUGGUACAACCUCAGGCAAUUGUACUCAUAUCAAAUUUUGACACUAUUGGCAGUUCAUAGGUUAGUUUAUUUAUUUUAUCAGCAAUUUUUGUAUUUUCUGCGUUCUUCCUUUUAUUUUUAGAUUUUUAGUCAAGAUUACCGUCAAAGGCCGAUAUGAUCAACCAAAAAAGAAGAUUUAUCUGAUGAUAUUUCUAAUGACUUUCUUGGGUGUGAAUCUGCCAUUUAGUUUACCGACUCCUCUUGGUUUUAAAACAAAGCUUAGCAAUAACUCUGCUUCUACUGGGUCUACAGACCUGACACAUAUACCAUUUUUUCACUUUGUUGUAAGCUAUAUUUACUAUUUGCUAAUUUUUUUCAAUAAAGUACCUACUUUUUGAGUUAUUUGCGAAAAACCGUAUAAAAACGUUGUUUUUUUUUGUUGAAAAAUGAACAUAUUCACUCGCAAAUAUCUCUAAAAGUAUUGACUUAGUGAAAAACACUAUAAAAUAGAAGUUGCUUAGAAUUAGUCAGUUUAUCCAAGUCCGGACUUAUUUGAACGUAUUUGUUUUCA
rnacentral:lncRNA from 1 species